rnacentral:rRNA from 1 species
AGUGAAUGCUGGCGGUAGGCCUAACACAUGCAAGUCGAACGGCAGCACAGUAAGAGCUUGCUCUUACGGGUGGCGAGUGGCGGACGGGUGAGGAAUACAUCGGAAUCUACUUUUUCGUGGGGGAUAACGUAGGGAAACUUACGCUAAUACCGCAUACGACCUACGGGUGAAAGCAGGGGAUCUUCGGACCUUGCGCGAUUGAAUGAGCCGAUGUCGGAUUAGCUAGUUGGCGGGGUAAAGGCCCACCAAGGCGACGAUCCGUAGCUGGUCUGGGAGGAUGAUCAGCCACACUGGAACUGAGACACGGUCCAGACUCCUACGGGAGGCAGCAGUGGGGAAUAUUGGACAAUGGGCGCAAGCCUGAUCCAGCCAUACCGCGUGGGUGAAGAAGGCCUUCGGGUUGUAAAGCCCUUUUGUUGGGAAAGAAAAGCAGCAGGUUAAUACCCCGCUGUUCUGACGGUACCCAAAGAAUAAGCACCGGCUAACUUCGUG